AUGAAUUCCUUUUGCCAACGUUGCCUUAAUCUAGCAGAGCUGAUUUGUAUUACUUGUAAUAUUGAGAUUGGUUUGUUACUAGUGGCUGCUUCUGUAUUUUUAAGACAUUGGUUGGAUUAGCCUUGUUAGUGUCUCUCCACUAACCUGUUACGAGACUGCAGGCUGUUCUUGCCGCCUCCUGGCAGAGAAGGUUAUUUCCCAGCCACGCUGCUUAAAGUUCCUUUCCAGAGUUUACUUCAGGCACAGUCUAGAGGACAGAGUGUCAACCCACUGAAGAAACAAACAAACAAAAAUCUGCUGCCCUGCAAUCUUAGUAGCAAUGCUUUUCUUUCAGGGCAAAGCAAAAGCAGACAAAAUGCUCCAAGAGUGCAGAAGAGUAGACUUCUGACAAAAAGAGAAAUGGCACAGAAGGAGUGUAACUGACAUCAGGAGCCCUGCUAGCUAUUGAGUCGGAAGCCAGAUGGUUGAUAAGGAAAAUGCAAGUAGCAGGUGACAAUUAGCACACACACACUGCCUUAGACUACCUGCAUACCCCAGGACUGAAAGAUUCACCAAUCGGACAAGCAAAAUGAUGAAGACUGACAACUACAAAUUGGCUAUUUCUUUCAACUUUUUUUGAAACUUAAAGGAAUUCUGAAAAUCCUUCAUUCUUGGAGAUCAAAAGCUACUGUAAACCUGGGUAUUGCACUGUUGUGCCUGAUCCAUUCCCUUCUCUGGUUUCCAGAAAUUGGUAUGUAUGAACUUGCAUUAAACGUUUUAAGUGAUUAAAGCCCUGUAAAGGACAGUGAGUUACAUGUGACAAUCUCUCUUCGAAAUUAGCGAUAACAUGGGAAGUAUCCAAAACAAGUCAGUUCAUGUAGUGCAUACGUUUGGGUUACCAGUCCCCAUGGGAAUAUGUCAGAAGACAAGCUACGUUACUAAGUUAACCACACACACAUUUGUCUUCUUACAAUUUUUCCGUUCAUUCAAAUGGGACAUGAAUAUUUUGUUUCCUAAUCUGCGCAAUUACCCUGGAGCUCAUGUUGUAAUGUGUCAGUACAAUGACAGCUUCCCCUGAAUGACAACUCACAGCUAUAGUGAAAAAUGACAGGAUUUGUAAACUAAGGUUGUUUAAAGAAAACGCACAGUUCUUGAGUGACUAUUUCUCAGUUAAUCAUAACUGCAUUUUACAAUACACCUUAAAUAUACUUAUUUUAAAAUGGGUCUAAUUGGCAUGCUUAAAGGGACUUGUAGUGGUGUAUAACAGAAUAUGCUGUACUACCACCUACUAACGCAAUAUUGUUGAUGGCAAUUAGAAGAUGCUCAAGAGAGAUUCUACACAUUCUACAAUGUGAUCUAGUAAAAACAAGCCAGUAGUAAUGGGUCUCAGAGUUUGUAAAUAUUCACCUUAGUGGCAGGCUUUUUCAUCACUCCUUUUGUUGUUACUUGGGUAGUUACUGUCACUAGCCUUUUUUCUAAUGGAGGCCUUAUUUUUCAUGUAGCAUAAGCCACUACUUGUCUCCCUGGAUGUACAUUUGUGUGGAACUCCGUUAUAUAUGAUAUUUCAUUCUAUUUAUCCUGAAGUUUCCUUAAUGGCAUCUUGCUUAACAAAAGAGGUGAAAUGGGUAUUUUACACUCAUAAGUGUAGGAAAGGAGUCUUGGACUGAAAGCUGACUGGGAAGCUCUCACCUGAUUUUCAUCCUCAUGAAUGGAGCUAGAACUCUGAAUAUAAAUCACUGUAAGGUUUGCUAUGUUUUUUAAAUAUGAGUUUUGGAACUUGAACUUAUAUCUGUGCCAUACAUUGACUGUAUUUAGUUUCAGCUCUUGGGACAAGGGAUUGACUAUGUAACAUUUAUACGGCAGCUAGCAUAAGCCUUUACUUGUACCUGCGGAGUAGGGGAAUUGCUGCAAAAUAAGUACCUAAUUCUAAUAAUAAUGUGAUCCCCCUAAAAUAAGGAGAAUAAAUCCCAACAUUCUAAGUGCUUUUGAACACUUUCAAAAUGUU